GACGAACGCUGGCGGCGUGCUUAACACAUGCAAGUCGAACGGAAAGGCCCUGCUUGCCGGGUGCUCGAGUGGCGAACGGGUGAGUAACACGUGGGUGAUCUGCCCCUUACUUUGGGAUAAGCCUGGGAAACUGGGUCUAAUACUGGAUAGGACCAUGCUGUAGGUGGUGUGGUGGAAAGAUUAGUUUCGGUAAGGGAUGAGCUCGCGGCCUAUCAGCUUGUUGGUGGGGUAAUGGCCUACCAAGGCGUCGACGGGUAGCCGGCCUGAGAGGGUGGACGGCCACAUUGGGACUGAGGUACGGCGCAGACUCCUACGGGAGGCAGCAGUGGGGAAUAUUGCACAAUGGGAGCAAGCCUGAUGCAGCGACGCCGCGUGGGGGAUGACGGCCUUCGGGUUGUAAACUCCUUUCAGCCAUGACGAAGCCCUUGUGGUGACGGUAGUGGUAGAAGAAGCACCGGCUAACUACGUG
rnacentral:rRNA from 1 species